GCCGGGGUCGCCUAGCCUGGUCAAUGGCGGCAGAAGCCAUUGCCGAAGCUUAAGAUGCUUGGCUAGGCUAAAUCUUAAGCUUUGAGUUAAUGAUAGGAAACCUGCUGGGUUAGUCCCUGCGUGGGUUCAAAUCCCACCCCCGGCA
rnacentral:tRNA from 1 species